CAGACCAGAGCAAAUUUUCACGCAAUCAUACAAUACAAAAUAAUAAAAGUCCCAAGAGACCACUAAACUUUCACUUUCUCCGGUGAAUUUAAUGUUCAUUAGUCCGUGAAAUUGGAGAUCUGCGUUAUGAUGAUUGAAUGCAAAAAAGAAGGGUCUAAGAAUCUAUUUAAAAUCGAGCAACCUAUAAUUACAUUUAGUUUCACUAAGUAUUUCAAGCGAUUUGACUAGAUUAAGAAGUGUUUUACCGCCAUGUUUACCAUGUGGAGGCUUGUGCUUCUGAUGUCGUUGGUGGUGCUCGUGUCUGCGAGGCCCCAGGAGUUUGACGAUGAAGAGGACAGCCACGAUCCCGCUGCGGAUAAGAAAGACGACGUGGCGCGUGUGCAAAUAAAAGUCUACAGGGGCCCGACAAAGCAUGACGGCUACGCCCCAUGGGGAUUCUGGGUCAAACAGCCUUCUGACGAACAAUAAAAGGCUGGCCUUAAUAAUAUAAGUUACAUUAGUUCCUAUAAAUAAUACUAACAUUAGCUUAUUAUGUGUAUUUUUUAAGUUUAUGAUCUAAAUUUAUAAACGUUUGUUAUUUUUAACGUUGGUUUGUUAAAAUAAGCUAAGUAAAGGUUGUUAUUAUUUUUGUAUUAAAACCAAAGAUUAAGUUACA